CUUUGCUAUAAUGCAUACUGUUUGUUUAUUGAAGUCUUGAUUAUAUUGAUUUGCUACUGCCAGAAACGGAAGUACAGAAAGCAAAAAGUAUAGCAAUCUGUUCUUAUCUGUAGGAGUAUCAAGUUUUCCCUCUUGUCUCUAACUGAAACAAGAAACAGCAGUUUAGGAUGUUAAUCUGUAGUUUUAGAAAAAUGAACCACCUUAAUGUAUAAGACUUCAAGAAGGGUAAUACUGUGUUAAAUUCUUAUAUUGUGAAAUACUUCCAUUUGAUAGCGUAGACAAAAGAUUUUGAAAUGCCACAUGUUGAUACGUUAAACAUUAUCGUAUAAGAAAUACAAGAUAAAAUCAUAUUCAUUGACCACUGCUGCCUCAGGGAAACAGGCUGCAUUUUCAGUGUAGACGUAAGCAUACACACUGUAUAAUGACCAAGUGUAAUAAUAUGCAUAACUUUCUGUUUAGAGGGGGUAUAUUAUCUACUCACUUGGAAGAAGUGGCUGAAUUUGAUUCCCUGUUUCAUAAAUAUUUGAAAUAUUAUUUUUGUUGGAAUAUUUCAUUUUUCUUAAACUUGCAAAUACCCUUCAAUGUUACUGGUUUCUGCAUGUAUGAUAAUUUAGGUAUUAAUCUGACUGAUAUACAAAUAUGGUAACUAAUAAUAAGUAAAAGUACCUUGAAAUUAUGUAUGUUAUUAAUCUGAAACUCCAAAUGAUCUUUUCCAAACACCAAAAAUCUGGAUGCAAGACUGUAGUACAGUUUAAUUUGGAGGAAGAAAAAAAAAAAAGCUGCUAUGGCUGUCAGAACACCUGUCUCAUAUUUUGCCUGUCAUUAACAGUUUUGCUUGGAAUGCUGGAAUAAAUUGUGGUUACCUACUUAGAUGAGAAGUUCAGAUUUAAGAUAAUGUCUUGCUUCAUUUCACCACCUAGACAAUGGAACGUAGGGCAAUGGAACUGGUUGUCCAGAGGGGUGUGCAGUCUCUGUCCUCGGCAGUUUUCAAGACCGAGCUGAAUAAAGCAUUUUGUAACCUGGUUUGACCUCAGUUCUGAGUCUGCUUGGAGUAGGAGGCCAGACUGAGGAUCUCUUGAGGUUCUUUCCAACCUGAAUUAUCCAAUGAUCCAAUCCUAUGAUCCUAUUAUAUUGGGAAGUACCAAAUCAUAGGUCUGUUUUGUUUUUUAAUACCCACUCCAGCUCCCUUGUUGUUGGAUUACUUUUAUCCAACAGGUUGUCAGACAAAAGAAUUUAACUAGGGUCCAAGAAAAUCACCAAAAAAUUUUAAUGCAUAUAUGUUUAUUUCCUCAACGGAGGAAGAAAAUGAAAUACAAGAAGAUACUCUUACAAAUUAGAAAAUUGGCUUAGAGGCAUUUGAAUUGUUAAUACCAACAGUAUAAAAAUUGAGAACCCUAUGAUGGUUCACCUGAACUUAUAUGCUAGCGUCACUUCACAGCGAAAUGUUCUCCUGCUUUUUCUUUCCUAAUGUAAAUUAGGUUUUCUUCUUGGCUUCUGGAUUCUAUUUCCAUCUCUCUUACUCAAGGUGGAAUAGGUUAAGUCAGCAGUAUGGCUUGUGUUUCAGUACAAAGCUUGAAACAGUCUUAAUCUUCCCCUGCCAGCACCUUGAAGGUUAACAGCUUAUCCAGUGUCUUAAGGAGAAGUUAAAUGAAGCAGCUCAGCUGGCUUAGCAGCUUGCAGCCCCUAAAACGGGAGAAGGUAAGAGAGGAUGUGCAUUCUCUGUUGAUCCUGCUCAUUUCCGUUAUUGGAAUAGUUCAGUAUUUCACCGAAAUUACUCAGCUUGAAUCUGUCUGCUCACUUUAAGCCUCCUACCACCCCACCCCUCAGCAUUUUACUGCGUAGAAUCAGUUUGGCUGGCAGAAAGUGCCAAGUACUAUAAGAGCAACAUAGGAAAGGAGAGAGAAUGAAACCCUUUCCUCUCACCCACUGCAAUAUGCAGUUAACUCAAGAAGUUUUGUUAAAUAGUAAUAAUUUCCACUAGUCUAGAAAAGAUAAAUAUUGAAAGAAAGCAUAAAUAUCAACAGAGUUAACUUAUUCUAUUUUAAUUGGAAGGAGUUAAUCAGUCAGUUCUAACGUGGUUACAACUUGAAGAUUUUUGUUUCUAGCAGACUUGUGUUACAUGCUUGUGCUUGUUUUCUGGUGUUCUCACAAAGUAGUAGGUACUUUCCAAAUGUAAAAAGCACUGUCCCUGCCACAAGGAGGUAAAAACAGAUGUGCAGAAGAGAUUGAGGAAAGUAGUAUAGCAGAGUAUUUAACUGUUGGCUGGUAAAUAAGAAUAAGCUUUUGUUGUGUGUGUUGUUUUGUUUUUUUUUUUUUUUUUUUUAAUUAACUUGUCAGUAUAAAUCAGUUGGAUUUCCCAUGGGCAGCAUUGCAGAUGAGGGUCUUCCAAAGGGAAUUAACUGGAGGAAGGGUGAAAGCUAUACAGAUGAGUUCAUGAAAAAUGCUCAGUGCACAAGAGACUGAAAGAAAUCAAAGAACUGCUAAUGCUAGAAGAAUUUAAAAAUUGCAGAGUUUGGUCUUUGUCAAGGGAAAGGGAGAUGGCAUGAAACAAAACAAGGCAAAAUAUGUGUGGGACAUGAAAAAUGACAGAAAGCUUGAAUUAGAUUUUGUGAUAUUCUUGGUAGAAUUCAAAUAAUCCUGUAGUCUGCAGGUCUGAAAUAUGAACCUUUUGCCUAAAAUGAGAAUAGCAGACAAGGAGGAAGAUUGAGAUAUAAGUAUCGCCAUUAGUCAUGGUUCUGCAGGAUUGUUAGAAGGUUUUGGAGAUAGGAACAAGGACCAGGUUUUGUCUGUUCUUGGUUGGAUUUUUUUGGUUGUGUUUGGUUUGGUUUUGGUUGUGUGCUGAUGUUGUUUUAGGACUUCAUUAGUGUUAAACUGAACAUAAACGUUUGGGAGAGGUUUUAGGAAAGGAGUUGAGAUCUGGGUGAGAUGAAAGCUAACGAAUGGAAAAUUUGAGAUCUCUCACAUUUGAGAACCAUCAACAUGGAUGUCCAAAUUAGCUGAAACUGAAAGAGUUCUGAAUGCGUUGCUGAAAUUACUUCCCAUUCCAGCUUGGCAGACUGGCCUAAUGUAUUGAGCACACUGGAAGAUCUAGCGUUUGUCUAAGGGUAUCUGCAAAGGACAAAGUUCAGGGAGAAUGGGUGUUCAGAGUUCUCUGUUUUAGUGAAGUCCAGACUCGCAUACAACAUGCGUGGCCAUACUUGUUAAUUGCAUAAGAGAUGCUUGCUAAUAGCAGUUAAGAAGCUGGUCCCAGAGAAGUUGUUUCAUAGGGUCUAAAUAAAAUAAUUUAUUUUUGGAAUCUCGGCUCUUAACGUAAGCACUUAUGUAGACAGUGAGACUCUUAAAUUCAGAACACCAAUGUUAGCUGUAUGUUUCAGCAACUUCUUUUCAUUUCUCCUCUAACCAUUCUACCCCUGGCAGGUGUUUGUUGGUAGAGGUUACAGUGUGUAGAAAUACUUAGGAUAAUGAAAUAAAAUACGAUCUUUGCUUAUUUAAAACAGUAACAUUUGUUUUAGAUGCUAAGAUAACAGCUUGGCUUGGUAAGAGCUCAAUUUAUUUAUUUGCUUGCUUGAGUCUGAAUUCUGUUUCCCUUGGAAAUUUCUUUCUGUACUUUCAUACUGCCACAAUGCUAUUCUGUUUUCAAGCCUGAUUCUUAUGGUGCUGUAAUUAGCAGACAGAGGAGGUUGAUCAAAAAAAAAAAAAAAAAAAAAAAAAAAAAAAAAAAAAAAGACAUCUACUGGUUUUGACACUGAGAAUUAAUUAUGAACUAAAAGACAGAUUUGUGCUCAGGCUAGAAUUAGCCUAGCAGUUCAAACUAUAAGCAGUCACCUUGGAAUCGUGUAACAAAAAGUGACACCCUUUCUUUUACUAUAGGCUAAAUAUAUCUUGUGAACUUAGGUUAGAUAAUUCAUCUGUGUGUCAGUUCUAUCUGGUAUUCUAUUUAAUUAAUGUGGAAAAUAGUUGUUGCUUUUCUUUGACAAGCACGGAGUUCAUGUUUGUUAAAUACUUUGAAAAACAUAACCAUUUCUUUUAAGUGGUUUAGAUUAUUAUCAGAGAGGUUGUUCAUUCUUACUAUAAAAAGGUGACAUUCAGCACAUCAUUGGUAGCUGGUUUUAAAUGAAGUAAAGUUUCAAAAGAGUAUCUAUAAUACAGUUUUUCAAAUCCUUUAAUUAGCUUUUGCAUGGAAUACCUUGCACAAAGUGCUGGCAUCAUAUUUUGCUCUUGUUCCUUGCAAGUGAACACAAUUUGAAUGCCGUUAAUGCAACUUUCCUUAUUUUGUGGCAACAAAGACUCCUCCAAAUGUCUUGCGCUGGUUAAUGCAGAAACAACAUUGUGAUAGUGUGUUAAUCUUGAGCACACAAAGAACCACUGGAGGGUAAGAGGAGGACAUCUGUUGGAUAAGCUUUCAAUAUGAUGAGAAUGAUAAGAGACCUACAACUGGUGCAAAAACCAGCUAAUCUUUUACAGUAUGUGAUUAAAAACCAAUGAAUAUCUUCUUUUCAAAAUUUGUGUAUUGAUGUAGAGAGUAAUAGCCCCAUAUUUCAUAAGUAGACAAAGAGGGACCUUGCAUUUGAGCAAACUGGCCAUUCUAAGCUGCCAUAAUUUGUACUAGCAACAGUGACCAUUUUAAGUUUAGGCCUACACGUUCUGGGUGGGUUAUUUUUAUGAUGGCUUGUCACUGUGAUGAACGAUCCCCUACUACCUCCUUUAUGUGUUUGUCAGCACAAUAGUAGUUGUAGUACUUUUAUAGUAGAAAUCUGUAGGAAAAAUUGUAGGCUUUUGUAGUAAGAAUUCUUGAGAAGAUUAUUAAUUUAUAAAUCAUCUUGGAGCUUUGCAUAACUAAUAAAAAUGUGUUAUUACAAAGAAGUAGUAGUUAUGAGGAUGCUGAGAAGUUAACUUUGGGAAUUGGUAAUUAAUUUCAGUUCCUGCGAAAUUACAUUUGAUGGAGUUCUCAUGUAUUUUCUAGUUUGGGUGCCAUUGCAAUUUCUAUGGAGAGUCAAUCUUCCUUUAGAAGAGAGGGAUAUAUUUUUUUUAAAGAUUUAGAAAGGGCUUGAAACUAUUGAUAUUCCCUUCAGAAAGAAGAUCAGUAAAUGUGUACAUUAUAAAGAUGACUAUCAAUCAUAAUGCAUGCAAUAGUAUGCAAACAUUUUUCUAGGCCACAAAACAGGGUAAUUUUUCAAGCUUUCAUGGUAGUUUCUGCUUAGUUGAUUGCAGUGAAGCAACCAGAAGGUUAUUCUUAAAACUUGUAAAACCACAUGUAGAGCUAGCUUCUUGCUGUCAAGAAGGAUAUUCUUAAGUUUUGUAUAUGAAUGUUUAGUAUUUGCACUAAGGAGCUCUUCACAGCUCCAUUCAGGCAUUACCUAUAGCUAUGUUUUCAAGAAAGUAACAUUUUGUGCAUCUUUUCUGAACAUAAAUACACGAUGCCGUAUCUGCCUUUUCUUAAAGUCUUUGGGUCUCAGCACUAUGUACAAACUUGUUCUGAUUAAUAACACUUACAUUAUACAAUGUAUAUCACUUUAGUUACCAACACUGGUGAAGUUUUGUUCCGACUUGUAUGAAUAUGCUCCUAUCAGUUACAUUUUUUCAUAAAACACAGGAGGUGGGGGCUUUUGAUGUCAAGUAAUGAAAUGAAUGUGGAAUGAAAUCAGUUCCUUACUCAUUAAAUCCAAAAGCACCUGCUGUAUUAUUAUUUGGCUGUAAACCAAAAAUAGAAUGGUUUAGUUAAAAACUAGGAGGAUAGGAAGGGGAAUCAUUUAAUCAAAUUUAUACAGCUUUCUGAAAGUUUUCUGGAACUAAAGUAGUUGGUGAUGUAAUGUAUGAAGUCAAAGAGUAUUUUGCUGUGAUGAGGAAAACUAAUGGAAACAUUCACUUGGGGUAAGACAAAUGGUAUUAAAUGAGAAAACACACCAUGAAUUGCAAAUGGAGCCGAGUUAAUUUGUUGCUACAGUAGUGUUGCCCUACUGUUAAAUGAAGGCUGUGUAAUUAUCUUGCUGGCAGAGAUAAUGUCAAAACCUCAUUUCUCCUUACAUGCCUCAUUUUUACAUGAGGGCUAAUUGAGCUGCAAGGUGACAACUGAUUAUAUAUGGCUAUCAUCAGGUCCUCUUGCUCAAUUUGCAAAUAAUGUUAUCUUUUUUAAGUGAUGAUUUUUAUCACAUGUCAAAUUAAAGCAUUAAAAAAACUUUUUAAAGCUAUUUUAGUAAUUUGUAACAUAGCAUUUCUGUCACUGUUUUAUUUAUAUUUUUCAGCAUUAAUUAAUACUUCCUCUAAGAUUCUUGACAUCCAUUUUCUUGCAGUCUUUUUACUGAAAGCACAUAGAGACGUGUACUAGUCAGUUUGCUUCAUGCCUCUUGAUUGUUAUUAAUGAAAGGGCCCUUUAUAAUCCAAAAUAUAUUAAGCUUUCUUUCAGUUUACUGUUGGGAUUGAAGUUUAUUGGAAAAGCCACUGAAUACUUUGUUAAUAAAUAUUUGAUUUAAAAAAUACCUAGGUUUAAAUCUUCUACUUUUUGAUCAUGCGUGCGUGCUUUUAAGUAACUUUGGUUUUACUGUGGGAUUUUUAAUCACUUGUUAAAAAGUUAUGGAUUCAUUUUAAUUAAGGCUUCCUUCCUGGAGAUGGUUAACAUCGGUAUUAUCCUUUGCUGUGUUCCCUUCAACCAGAAAAAAUGACUGAUAAGGGAGCAAGAAACUUUUUUUUCCAAUGUAAAAAGCUCAAAAAUAAACCAAGUCACUUCUCUUGGUCUGUAGUGUACAACCAGUGGGAGGUGUAUCUGUUGUGGAGACACUUGUAAGAGAAUGUGUAAGUAUAUUUUCUUCAUAGGAUCUAGCAUGCCCAAAGACAGUGAAGGUGAUGUAUGCAGGGAUGCAGUGUCAAAUAAAAGCAGAGUACCCUCUCUUUACAGAUUGGCUUCUUGAAUGCUGGCUUCGCUUGUUAGUGCAGAACUGAAGGCCUAGGCAUGGCUAAUGCCAUUUGGCCUGACACUUUGUCUUGGCCUCCUAAGUCCCUGCUUUGCCCUUAGAUACACUGCAGUGUCUUUUUGAGAUCCCUAUUUUUUUUAAUCCUGCUGCAAUCGCAAAAACUGAAAUAAAACCAGUUAUUUUUUAAUUCUAAUAAUUCAUCAAUCUGGAUUUGUGUGUUCCCACCCAAAAGCGCUGAGCUGCAGAAGUUACAUAUGAGACAAGACAAACCUUAAGAAUAUGCUUGGAGAAAGAGAAAUUUCUCAUUUCAAAAUCUGGCAUUAAUCCCAAGGCCGGGGGGGGACAAUUUUCAUAGCUCUUCAAAAAAAAAUAAAAAUAAAAAUCUUGCAUUAUUUGGGAACACUACUUAUAAAAUACAUUCAAUAUAUUUGCCAAAAAAUAGCUUCUGAAAUUUUAGUUUCUUGACUACACUGCCUCCUUGCAGAUACAACUUAUGUUUAAGUGGAACCUGGAAAGUUUGAUACCCUUGUAAUGACCAUCUUGUAUUUCAGAGGACUCAGACUCUUACCAGACUCUCAGCUUACUACUCAAACCAGACAUUUAGUUGUACUCUAAAUAGUAUUUUAGUACAUUUAAAAUAGGAAAAUAAUUGUGAAAUUCCAAAAUAGACUAAGCCAGUUUGUGUUACAUUAAAUACAUUUCAAAAGUAAAACGUCAUAACGUUUAACUGAUUGGAGUUAAGCAAUAUGAAACUUCUAUGUUUGCUAACUCCCCAUACUUGUUCAGGUUUCAAAGCAAAGAUACACUUUCAUUCCCAGAUCUUUUAGUGAACUUCAAUGUGUUUUUAAAAUUAAUGAUGUAGGUUUAUUUCAUAAUUGGACCUGAUAAAAUUCAACCAAUUCACACUUUCAAACAAAUGAAAUAAUGAUACAAGACUGUCUAAACAAAGUCUUCAAUUUUACUUUAUGCUAGGAUAUAACAGACUAAAGCUUUGUUUUGAGAUGAAAUACCUGAAAAAUGCUUCAGCAUCUUCUUAUAACAACACUUUUUUUUACAGACUGUUUGUAUCUUAUAGUAUAGGAAAAAUACCUUUACUGGAAAUCUUAUGACUGGGAUCUUAAAGCAUUUUUACUUUAUUAGAUGGUUCUCUAUUUAGAAAUUAAAUAAUUUUACUUUUAAAAAGAAACAAACAAAGAACUCUAAGACAAUUCUGUACUUCUCUUGCUUGUUUGACGUCAGGGGAGGGAAAAAAAAAAAAAAAAC